UUUGUUGUUGUUUUUUUGCCUUCCUGUAGGUUAAACAUUUUAAAAAAAAAAUUCAUUUUGAUUUACUUAUGGUGUUUUUAGAGAGGUACACACUUUAAGUAUGUAGUUUUUGUAGUAGUCGCUGUGGAUAUUACAAUAUAUCUCAUUCUACUGAUAUAUGACUUUGAAGUAUGGAAAUAUUACUCCCAUUUAAGUCCUUUUAUUUUUUACACUUUUAAAUAUAAUUGCUUUGAAUAUCAAGUGCUGUUAUAAUUUUUGUUUCAAGUAUCAAGUAUGACAUAUAAAACUCAAAUGGGGAUUGUCUAUUAAAAACUUCCUUUAGCAAGUCUUUAUAACUAUGUCUACUAGUGACACAUUCCUCAAGAGUGGUAUCCCUAACUGCCAUUAGGGGGUGUUAAACGACGACUCUUUCUGGCUACUUCCCGCUGAAAAGAAGUGUUGUGCUGGGAACAGCACUUAGGGCUCCUCCUGGGGUCGAUCUAUGGGUCCUCAGAAGAAAGGUGUGUCCGUAGGUGGUUCUGUCUGCAGCACCAUUUGGAGUUUGCUUCUAGAUGAAAAGAGAUAAAUUUUACAAGAAAGUUUAGAAUAUAGGGUUUGAAUAUAAGUAUUAAGAUUACCAUUAUUAGUGGGGGUACUAUAGGCCAUAACCAUAACAGUAGAGUUUGAUACCUGUUAGCUAUUCUAAUGGAUUGUAAUACUUGUUUGCCUCCACCAAAUGUUGCUGUACUUUACCAGAAACGUUAAGAUAAAAAUAACAUUCUUUAGCCAGACACAGUGGCUCAUGCCUGUAAUCCCAGCAUUUUGGGAGGCCAAGGCAGGCAGACCACCUGAGGUCAGGAGUUCAAGACCAGCCUGGCCAACAUGGUGAAACCCCGUUUCUACAAAAAUACAAAAAUCAGCCAAGCAUGAUGGUGGGUGCCUGUAAUCCCAGCUACUCAGGAGGCUGAGGCAGGAGAAUUGCUUGAAUCGGGGAGUGAGCCAAGAUUGAGCCAUUGCACUCCAGCCUGAGCAACAGAGUGAGACUCCAUCUCAAAAAAAAAAAAAAAAAAAACAUUCUUUUUAGGAUAAAUGGCAUUAAAUUUGGGUGGCUAAAGUAACUUUAGUGUUAACCUUGGCUAAAUUUUUCCAGCAAUUAUCAAUCCUUUCACAAUUUCCACAGACCAUUUAUGACAUGCUUAAACUUUCUUAGUAGUCCUAAACACCCCUUUUUUAAACAACCAGUUAUUUCCUUUUAGGACAAGAAUUUACCAUCCAAGAUCCUUUCUUAUAUAAAAUCUUUUUUUUUUUUUUUUUGAGAUGGAGUCUCGCUCUGUCACCCAGGCUGGGGUGCAGUGGCACAAUCUCGGGUAACUGCAAACUCAGUCUCCCAGGUUCAAGCAAUUCUCUGCCUCAGCCUCUCAAGCAGCUGGGAUUACAGGUGCCCACCACCACACCCAGAAAUUUAUGAAAAAAAUUUGUAUUUUUCAUAAAGAGAUGGGGUUUCACUAUCUUGCCCAGCACUUUGGAAGGCCAAGGUGGAUAGAUCACCUGAGGUCAGGAGUUCAAGGCCAGUUUGACCAACAUGGAGAAACCACAUCUCUACUAAAAAUACAAAAUUAGCUGGGCAUGGUGGCAUAUGCCUGUAAUCCCAGCUACUCGGGACCAUCUUGGUCAGGCUGGUCUUGAACUCCUGACCUUGUGAUCCAGCCACCUUGGCCUCCCAAAGUGCUGAAAUUACAGGCGUGAGCCACUGCACCCAGCCAAAAUAUCCUUCCUUUAUGACCUUAAUUGAAUAGCUAGGGUGUGACAUAUUACCAAACCCAAUAAGAAGUCCUAGCUAACUUAGUGAUAGUAAAAUUUUCAUGUUUACUUCCUGUCAGUAACUAUUAUCCCUGCUAUAAGGAUAAUAAUUCCACAAAAUAUUACAGUAGUUGAGGCUCUUUAUCCAAUAUUCCACUCUGGGGUUGCUACAAUAUAUAAUCCUUCUGUAAAUAGUAGAGUGAGUAUAUAAUUCUGCAAGGGUGGUGUAGUAGAUAAUUUCCAUCAAAAAGUUUUACUUGCCAAGACAUAGAAUUUCUCUUUGGGGGUCUAUGAAGUUAUAAAUGUAAUCCCAAGGAUAACUAAAAUCUUUCUGCAAAAAUGCAUUAAAAAGAAGUUCUAAUAUCUGGUGGCAAAUCUAAAGAGAAACAUAAAAAUGACAAAGUAUUUGCUGAGGUAAAGGUGGGACUGAGUAAGAUGAGUAGCUCUCACUUAUCUUUUAUGAUUUGUAGCUUCAGAUAUCUUAUUUCUUCACAUUGAUAUUCAGGAUGUUCCUCUGGGCUGUCAGGGGUUGCUCCCACAGCUUUCCAGGCUUUGACUCCAGUGUGAUAAAUCCAGUAGUUGACACCUGUAACUUUUACCACUGAGGGGGCUGAAAGAAAAACAGUGUGGGGCCCUUCCCAGCUUGGGCUCAGGACAAAGAGAGAGAAGGGAGAGCCUUCACCAAUUCCAAAUCUCCAGAGUUUGGAGCUGGGAGUUAAAGGCCAGCUUGACCAACAUGGAGAAACCCCAUCUCUACUAAAAAUACAAAAUUAGCUGGGCAUGGUGGCACAUGCCUGUAAUCCCAGCUACUCGGGGGGCUGAAGAAGAAUCGCUUGAACCUGGGAGGCAGAAGUUGCGGUGAGCCGAGAUCGCACCAUUGCACUCCAGCCUGGGCAACAAGAGUGAAACUACGUCUUAAAAAAAACAAAAACAAAACAGAAAAACAGCUUUAUUACCUCGGAGGCCUUUUCUGUAUGGGGUGGAAAGGUUUCUAUGCAGUUAGUGAAAGUAUCUAUCCAUGCCAGGUGGUGUUGAAUGCCCUUCACCUUUGGCAUGUGGGUGAAGUCUAUCUGCCAGACCUCCCCUGGAAAGCUUCCCAUCCUUUGGGUUUGAGGAGAAAGCUGCUGCCUUCACAAGCAUUAACAACCUGUUUGACUGUUCUUAAUAAAUUCUUUCUUGAAAAUUUUUGGGCACACUGGUAAGUUUUACUCUUUCCUAAAUCAAAUGCCUGGUGGAUUUAAAAACUUUCCAUUGGCUGGAGGCUGGCAAGUGGAGUUUGCCAUCUUCUGACUGUAGCUGUUCUGAGGGCUGGAAAGUAUAUCCUCAAGAAGUGAUGCAUCCUAUUUCUGCAGGGGAGUACUGAGGUUUAAUUUCUCUUAUGGAGCCUUUCCAAAUUAGGGGGGCUUGAAGUAUGUUGAUGCGCUGAGGCUUCCUUGCCACUGACUUAGCUGCCUGAUCAGCAAACGUAUUUUCUUUGUCUGCUUUAUCGGUUGUCUUUGAUGUCCCUUUCAAUGCAUUCCUGCUAUUUCUCAUGGAAGGAAAAGUUGAGGAUAAUAACCAGUAAUUUUGGGAGAUGCAUUAGCUGUAAGAAAAAAUGGCUUUCUUUCCAAAUGACAGCAUGAGCAUGGAGAACUAAGAAAGCAUACUUCAAAUUACUGUAAAUGCUAGCUACCUUUCAAUUGCUUAAUUCAAGCACUCUUGUAAGAGCUAUCAGUGCAGCUAAUUGAGUGCUUGUGCCUGGAGAGAGAGAGACUUUCAAUGAUGUCACUUAGAGUGACUACUGCAUAUCAUGCUUUAUGGAUCCCUUGCUCUACAAAGUAGCUCCCAUCUUUGAAGAGGGUCCAAUCUGGAUUUUCUAGGGGAGUUUCCCUGAGAUCUUCCCUGGCUGCAUAGGUCUGUAUUAUAACUUGUUCAGAGUCAUGUUCAGUUUCCCCAAGGAAAGUGGCUGGGUUUAGAUGAGAACAAGUUUUUAACUGGAUUGUGGAAUCCUCUAACAGCAGAGCCUAAUAUUUAAGGAGCCAACUGUCUGUUAGCCAAAGGCUCCCCGCUAGAAGACAGUAAUCCUGCCACAUCAUAUGGGGUGUAAACAGUUAAGUCAUUUCCCAGGUUAAUUUGGUGGCUUUUAGGACCAGUAGGACCACCGUGGCAAUGGCUUGGAGGCAUUUGCAAAUAAUAGGUCCCCCCAAGUGCAACUAAGGGGUUGAGAAAAAUAUUAGAGUUUUUCCUGAGAUGUCCCACAUGGUGGUGCCACAAGAAGAGGGGAGGCCUGGAUUAGAGAGAGGAGAGAGAGGCUGACUCCAUUGUUUAGAAGGAGGUCUACCUGGCUGGAUGCAGCAGCUCACGCCUGUAAUCCUAGUACUUUGGGUGGCCAAGGUUGGCGGAUCACAAGGUCAGGAGAUUGAGACCAUCCUGGCUAACACAGUGAAACCCUGUCUCUACUAAAAAUACAAAAAAAAUUAGCUAGACGUGGUGGUGGGCACCUGUAGUCCCACCUACUCUGGCGGCUGAAGGGGGGAGAAUGGUGUGAAUCCAGGAGGCAGAGCUUGCAGUGAGCCGAGAUCGCGCCACUCCACUCCAGCCUGGGCGACAGAGCGAGACUGUCAGAAAAAAAAAAAGGAGGUCUACCUUUCUUCCUCCAAUUUCCAGAAUCACCUGGGGCUCCUAAUGGCAGUUUGAGCCACUACAGCCAGGGGUUUGAGCUCCAGAACCCAUCAGUCCUGUUGGACCAUGUGUGAGACUGGUUCUGAACUCGGUGACCUCCAUCUCCGGGGGCAGUCUGAUCUGUAGUGGUCUUUGCCACAGGCUGGACAGGGUUGAGGUGACUUUUCCUUGCUGCCUGGGUACUCCUUCUUAAAGUGUCCUGACUUUCCACAUCGAUAGCCACUAGCAGACGCACCAUGGGGAUCCUGAACUUUGUAAGCCUGCAAAGCGGCUACUAGAGCCUCUGUCGUUUUCUUGUGCUUCCUCUCUUUCUGCUCGACCUCCUCCUGAUCCCUAUUAUAAAAGACCGAAGUGUUCACCCUCAGGAGGUUUUCCAAGGUGCUAUCUGCUCCUAUAGCCUCCUUAUGCAGCUUCCUUCUAAUAUCAGGAUCUGCCUGUGUAAUAAACUUGUCCUUUAGGAUGAGCUGUCCUUCUACUGAAUCAAGGGAUAAGGAGGUGUGUUUUAUUAGUGGCUCUCUCAGCCUUUCCAUAAAGGCUGUGUGAUUCUCAUCUGGUUUUUGGUCUAUCAUGGACAGCUUAAAGUAAUUAAGAGAUUUGGUCCUAGUUCUUUGUAAGCCCUCUAAUAUGCACAUUAAAAAGAGUUUCUCUUUCCAUUCGUUUGUGGAGCUAUCGGAGUUCCAAUCAGGAUUGUCAAGAGGAACUAUUUCCCUUCCUGUUGGGAAUGGCGUUUCCAUUAUUUCUUUGUGUUCUGUAUUAGUCUGUUGUCACACUGCUGAUAAAGACAUACCCAAGACUGGGAAGAAAAAGAGGCUUAAUUGGACUUACAGUUCCACAUUGCUGGAAAGGCCUCAGAAUCAUGGCAGGAAGCAAAAGGCCCUUCUUACAUGGUGGCAAAAGAAAUGAGGAAGAUGCAAAAGAGAAACCCCUGAUAAAAUCACCAGAUCUCGUGAGACUUAUUCACUACCACUAGAACAGUAUGGGGGAAACCGCUCCCAUGAUUCAAAUUAUCUCCCACUGGGUCCCUCCCACAACUUUAUGGGAAUUAUCGGAGUAUAAUUCAACAUGAGAUUUGGGUGGAGACACAGAGCCAAACCAUAUUCUGUCCCUGGUCCCUCCAAAUCUCAUGUCCUCACAUUUCAAAACCAAUCACACCUUCCCAACCGUCCCCCAAAGUCUUAACUCAUUUAAGCAUUACCUCAAAAGUCCACAGUCCAAAGUCUUAUCUGAGACAUGGCAAGUCCCUUCUGCCUAUGAGCCUGUAAAAUCAAAAGCAAGCUAGUUACCUCUUGGAUACAAUGGAAGUACAGGUAUUGGGUAAAUACAGCCAUUCCACAUGGGAGAAAUUGGCCAAAACAAAGGGGUUACAG
rnacentral:lncRNA from 1 species